GACACACAAUAAGGCGGAGAUCCAGUGUUCUAAUGUCCUUUCUUUCUUUCUUUCUUUCCUCUUAAGAUCUUUUGAAGUGUCGCAAAAGGGUUUUGUAUUCUACGAACUGAGUUUAGUCUCCUCUAUUGGGGACUAAAUAUUUUUGGGUUUUUCCUCCUCUAAUUCGAUUGCUGCUUACUCUCUGAUGUGAAAUGCUUUUUUUUGUAGAUUAGUUUGUGUUCUUUCUGAAACUGAGGCGGCGAAAGUUCCAUCCUGUAGAAAAUGGGUUUGUGGACGAUUCUAGAAGGACUUGUGAUCUUCGCAAAUGCAUUAGCAAUAUUGAAUGAAGACAGGUUCCUUGCUCCAAGGGGAUGGACUCUGGCAGAACUUCAAGCGGGAAGAAGAAAUUCAAUUAAGGGGCAGAUCAUCGGACUCAUACAUGCUUGCCAGUUCAUGAGAUUACCACUUAUACUUCUAAACACCAUCAUUAUCAUAGUGAAGCUGUUCUCCGGGUGAGGUCAAAUACAGUUGCUCAUUGCUUGCCUUGUGCAUUAAUCCAUGUAUACUGAAAGUUCAAACAACUGUUAACUACUCUGGGGUCUAUAAUAUAUCAUCAGAUGUAAAAGAAGCCCAUUACAAAUAGAUCAUAGAGCUUUUCCAAUUUUAUGCAACUGUUUAUUAUGCUGCAACUUUAAUGUGACCAUGGAUUUCUUUCA